UAAGUUAAUAAGGGCGCACGGUGGAUGCCUUGGCACUAGGAGCCGACGAAGGACGUGACAAACGACGAUAUGCCUUGGGUAGCUGUAAGUAAGCGAUGAUCCAGGGAUUUCCGAAUGGGGGAACCCAACAGGUAAUACCUGUUACCUACAUCUGUUAAGGAUGUGAGGAGGAAGACGCAGUGAACUGAAACAUCUAAGUAGCUGCAGGAAGAGAAAGCAAAAGCGAUUGCCUUAGUAGCGGCGAGCGAAACGGCAGAAGGGCAAACCGAAGAGUUUACUCUUCGGGGUUGUAGGACUGCAAUGUGGACUCAAAGAUUAUAGAAGAAUGAUUUGGGAAGAUCAGCCAAAGAGAGUAAUAGCCUCGUAUUUAAAAUAGUCUUUGUACUUAGCAGUAUCCUGAGUACGGCGGGACACGUGAAAUCCCGUCGGAAUCUGGGAGGACCAUCUCCCAACCCUAAAUACUCCCUAGUGACCGAUAGUGAACCAGUACCGUGAGGGAAAGGUGAAAAGCACCCCGGGAGGGGAGUGAAAUAGAACCUGAAACCGUGUGCCUACAACAAGUUCGAGCCCGUUAAUGGGUGAGAGCGUGCCUUUUGUAGAAUGAACCGGCGAGUUACGUUAUGAUGCGAGGUUAAGUUGAAGAGACGGAGCCGUAGGGAAACCGAGUCUGAAUAGGGCGCCUUAGUAUCAUGACGUAGACCCGAAACCAUGUGACCUACCCAUGAGCAGGUUGAAGGUGCGGUAAGACGCACUGGAGGACCGAACCUGGGCACGUUGAAAAGUGCUUGGAUGACUUGUGGGUAGCGGAGAAAUUCCAAACGAACUUGGAGAUAGCUGGUUCUCUCCGAAAUAGCUUUAGGGCUAGCGUCGACAUUAGAGAUUCUUGGAGGUAGAGCACUGUUUGGGUGAGGGGUCCAUCCCGGAUUACCAAUCUCAGAUAAACUCCGAAUGCCAAUGAAUUAUGGUCGGCAGUCAGACUGCGAGUGCUAAGAUCCGUAGUCGAAAGGGAAACAGCCCAGACCACCAGCUAAGGUCCCAAAAUAAUUGUUAAGUGGAAAAGGAUGUGGGGUUGCACAGACAACUAGGAUGUUAGCUUAGAAGCAGCUAUUCAUUCAAAGAGUGCGUAAUAGCUCACUAGUCGAGUGACCCUGCGCCGAAAAUGUACCGGGGCUAAAACAAUUUACCGAAGCUGUGGAUACCUUUAUAGGUAUGGUAGGAGAGCGUUCUAUGUGUGAUGAAGGUAUACCGUGAGGAGUGCUGGAACGCAUAGAAGUGAGAAUGCCGGUAUGAGUAGCGAAAGACAGGUGAGAAUCCUGUCCACCGUAAGACUAAGGUUUCCAGGGGAAGGCUCGUCCGCCCUGGGUUAGUCGGGACCUAAGGAGAGACCGAAAGGUGUAUCCGAUGGACAACAGGUUGAUAUUCCUGUACUAGAGUAUGUAGUGAUGGAGGGACGCAGUAGGCUAACUAAAGCAGACGAUUGGAAGAGUCUGUCUAAGCAGUGAGGUGUGAAUUGAGUCAAAUGCUUAAUUCUAUAACAUUGAGCUGUGAUGGGGAGCGAAGUUUAGUAGCGAAGUUAGUGACGUCACACUGCCAGAAAAGCUUCUAGCGUUUAAACAUACUCUACCCGUACCGCAAACCGACACAGGUAGUCGAGGCGAGUAGCCUCAGGUGAGCGAGAGAACUCUCGUUAAGGAACUCGGCAAAAUGACCCCGUAACUUCGGGAGAAGGGGUGCUGACUUUAAGUCAGCCGCAGUGAAUAGGCCCAAGCAACUGUUUAUCAGAAACACAGCUCUCUGCUAAAUCGUAAGAUGAUGUAUAGGGGGUGACGCCUGCCCGGUGCUGGAAGGUUAAGAGGAGUGCUUAGCGUAAGCGAAGGUAUGAAUUGAAGCCCCAGUAAACGGCGGCCGUAACUAUAACGGUCCUAAGGUAGCGAAAUUCCUUGUCGGGUAAGUUCCGACCCGCACGAAAGGCGUAAUGAUUUGGGCACUGUCUCAACGAGAGACUCGGUGAAAUUUUAGUACCUGUGAAGAUGCAGGUUACCCGCGACAGGACGGAAAGACCCCAUGGAGCUUUACUGCAGUUUGAUAUUGAGUGUCUGUACCACAUGUACAGGAUAGGUAGGAGUCUAAGAGAUCGGGACGCCAGUUUCGAAGGAGACGCUGUUGGGAUACUACCCUUGUGUUAUGGCCACUCUAACCCAGAUAGGUGAUCCCUAUCGGAGACAGUGUCUGACGGGCAGUUUGACUGGGUCGGUCGCCUCCUAAAAGGUAACGGAGGCGCCCAAAGGUUCCCUCAGAAUGGUUGGAAAUCAUUCGCAGAGUGUAAAGGUAUAAGGGAGCUUGACUGCGAGAGCUACAACUCGAGCAGGGACGAAAGUCGGGCUUAGUGAUCCGGUGGUUCCGUAUGGAAGGGCCAUCGCUCAACGGAUAAAAGCUACCCUGGGGAUAACAGGCUUAUCUCCCCCAAGAGUUCACAUCGACGGGGAGGUUUGGCACCUCGAUGUCGGCUCGUCGCAUCCUGGGGCUGUAGUCGGUCCCAAGGGUUGGGCUGUUCGCCCAUUAAAGCGGCACGCGAGCUGGGUUCAGAACGUCGUGAGACAGUUCGGUCCCUAUCCGUCGCGGGCGUAGGAAAUUUGAGAGGAUCUGCUCCUAGUACGAGAGGACCAGAGUGGACUUACCGCUGGUGUACCAGUUGUCUUGCCAAAGGCAUCGCUGGGUAGCUAUGUAGGGAAGGGAUAAACGCUGAAAGCAUCUAAGUGUGAAACCCACCUCAAGAUGAGAUUUCCCAUGAUUAUAUAUCAGUAAGAGCCCUGAGAGAUGAUCAGGUAGAUAGGUUAGAAGUGGAAGUGUGGCGACACAUGUAGCGGACUAAUACUAAUAGCUCGAGGACUUAUCCA
rnacentral:rRNA from 1 species